AAUUAAGUGAAUAAGCGCAGAAGGUGGAUGCCUAGGCAGUCGAAGGCGAAGAAAGACGUGGAAGCCUGCGAAAAGCUUCGGGGAGCUGGCAAACAAGCAUUGAUCCGGAGAUAUCUGAAUGGGGAAACCCGGCCUAUUUCAUAUAGGUCAUUGUUAACUGAAUUCAUAGGUUAAUAAGGCGAACCGAGGGAACUGAAACAUCUAAGUACCUCGAGGAAAAGAAAUCAAUUGAGAUUCUGCAAGUAGCGGCGAGCGAACGUGGAAAAGCCUUCACGAGCUAGUUAACAGAUUAGCCAAAAGUUCUGGAAAGGACUGCCCUAGAGGGUGAAAGCCCCGUCGGCGAAAAUGUGUUAAUGAGACUAAGCGUGAAAUCAAGUAGGGCGGGACACGAGAAAUCCUGUCUGAAGAUGGGGGGACCAUCCUCCAAGGCUAAAUACUCUCGACUGACCGAUAGUGAACCAGUACCGUGAGGGAAAGGCGAAAAGAACCCCGGAGAGGGGAGUGAAAUAGAACCUGAAACCGUCUGCGUACAAGCAGUAGGAGCUCAUCUUCGGAUGAGUGACUGCGUACCUUUUGUAUAAUGGGUCAGCGAGUGACUUUUAGUGGCAAGCUUAACCGACUAGGGUAGGCGAAGGGAAACCGAGUCUGAAUAGGGCGUUGAGUCGCUAGGAGUCGACCCGAAACCGAGCGAGCUAGCCAUGUCCAGGGUGAAGCUUGGGUAACACUAAGUGGAGGCCCGAACCCACAUCUGUUGCAAAAGAUGGGGAUGAGGUGUGGCUAGGAGUGAAAGGCUAAACAAGCUCGGAGAUAGCUGGUUCUCCUCGAAAGCUAUUGAGGUAGCGCCUCGUGUUAACGACUAGGGGGUAGAGCACUGUUUCGGUAAGGGGGUCAUCCCGACUUACUGAGCCGAUGCAAACUUCGAAUACCUAGGACGUGAUGCACGGGAGACACACGGCGGGUGCUAACGUCCGUCGUGAAAAGGGAAACAACCCAGAUCACCUGCUAAAGUCCCAAAAGUUAGGUUAAGUGUGAAACGUAGUGGAAAGGUUUAAACAGCCAGGAGGUUGGCUUAGAAGCAGCCAUCCUUUAAAGAAAGCGUAAUAGCUCACUGGUCGAAUCGGUCUGCGCGGAAGAAUGAACGGGGCUCAAACCUAAUACUGAAGCAGUGAAUGUCAUUAGUUUACGAAUUAAUGGCGUGGUAGAGGAGCGUUCGGUAAGCCGUUGAAGGUGACCUGUAAGGGUUGCUGGAGGUAUCCGAAGUGCGAAUGCUGACAUGAGUAACGAUAAGGCGAGUGAAAACCUCGCCCGCCGAAAGUCCCAGGAUUCCUGCGCAACGGUAAUCGACGCAGGGUGAGUCGGCCCCUAAGGCGAGGCGGAAACGCGUAGUCGAUGGGAAACAGGUUAAAAUUCCUGUACUUUUAUAGAUUGUGAUGGGAGGACGAAGAAGGCUAGGUUAGCCGGAGACUGGUAGUUCCGGUUUAAGCGAGUAGAGAGAGACUCUAGGAAAAACCGGAGUUUCGUUAAUCUCGAGACGUGAUGACGAGUUGUUAACCUCGGUUAACGAUGAAGUAAUUAAUGCCCUGCUUCCAGGAAAACUCUCUAAACUUCAGGUCUAUAGGAACCGUACCGCAAACCGACACAGGUGGACAGGUAGAGAAUACUAAGGCGAUGAGACAACUUGGGUGAAGGAACUAGGCAAAUUGGCACCGUAACUUCGGGAGAAGGUGCACCUUUUUUGGUGAGUGGGUAUACCCCACAAGCUGAGGGAGGUUGAAAUAAUCAGGUGGUUGCGACUGUUUACCAAAAACACAGCACUCUGCGAACUCGAAAGAGGAAGUAUAGGGUGUGACGCCUGCCCGGUGCCGGAAGGUUAAUUGAAGUAGUUAACUUGCGCUGAGAUGGCUUUUGACAAUGAAUUAGAAAGAAAAAUAAUUCGAAAAUAAAGCUCAAAAGUCAUGUCAGCGCAGGUGAAGCUGCGGAUCGAAGCCCCGGUAAACGGCGGCCGUAACUAUAACGGUCCUAAGGUAGCGAAAUUCCUUGUCGGGUAAGUUCCGACCUGCACGAAUGGCGUAACGACAGCCACACUGUCUCCACCCAAGACUCAGUGAAAUUGAAAUCGCUGUGAAGAUGCAGCGUACCCGCGGCAAGACGGAAAGACCCCGUGCACCUUUACUACAGCUUUACACUGGACUUUGAAUUUAACUGUGUAGAAUAGGUGGGAGGCAUUGAAGCGAGUUCGCUAGAAUUCGUGGAGCCGACCUUUGAAAUACCACCCUGUUAACGUUGAAGUUCUAACCUAGGGCCCUUAUCGGGUUUGGGGACAGUGUAUGGUGGGUAGUUUGACUGGGGCGGUCUCCUCCUAAAGAGUAACGGAGGAGCACGAAGGUACCCUCAGCGCGGUCGGACAUCGCGCAUUGCGUGUAAUGGCACAAGGGUGCUUGACUGCGAGACAAACACGUCGAGCAGGUGCGAAAGCAGGUCAUAGUGAUCCGGUGGUUCCGAAUGGAAGGGCCAUCGCUUAACGAAUAAAAGGUACGCCGGGGAUAACAGGCUGAUACCGCCCAAGAGUUCAUAUCGACGGCGGUGUUUGGCACCUCGAUGUCGGCUCAUCACAUCCUGGGGCUGAAGCAGGUCCCAAGGGUAUGGCUGUUCGCCAUUUAAAGUGGUACGCGAGCUGGGUUCAGAACGUCGUGAGACAGUUCGGUCCCUAUCUGCCGUGGGCGCUGGAGAUUUGAGAGGAGCUACGCCUAGUACGAGAGGACCGGCGUGGAGGUACCGCUGGUGGUCCGGUUGUUUCGCCAGAAGCAUAGCCGGGUAGCUACGUACCGACAGGAUAACCGCUGAAAGCAUCUAAGCGGGAAACCUCCCUCAAGAUAAGAUCUCCCGAGGAUUUAAUCCUCCUCAAGGUCCGUUGAAGACGACGACGUAGAUAGGUGGGGUGUGUAAGUACAGUAAUGUAUUGAGCUAACCCAUACUAAUUGACCGUGUGGCUUAAUUUG
rfam:Rickettsiella grylli gcontig_637, whole genome shotgun sequence.